AACUUUGCCUUUUAUCCUUCUUAGAUCAAUGAAAAAAUACCUGUUGAGCACUGGGGGGAGGGGGUUUCGAUAUAAUCGACCAAAAUGUCAGGCCAUGUGCCUGUAGUAGAAAGGAUUAUUAUUAUUAUGGCAGAAUCGUUAGCGCACUGGGCGAAAUGCUUAGCGGUAUUUCAUCUGCAGUUACGUUCUGAGUUCAAAUUCCGCCGAGGUCGACUUUACCUUUCAUCCUUUCGGGGUCGAUAAAUUAAGUACCAGUGAAACACAGGAGUCGAUGUAAUCGACUUAAUCCGUUUGUCUCUCCUUGUUUGCCCUCUCUGUGAUUAUCCCCUUGUGGGUAGUAAAGAAAUAGGUAUUUCGCCAGUCGCUACGUUGUGAAUUCAAAUUUUGCUGAGGUCAACUUUGCCACUCAUCCUUUCGGGGUCGAUAAAUUAAGUACCAGCUGCGUACUGGGGCUGAUCUAAUCGACUGGCCCCCUUCCCUCACAAUUUCAGACAUCGUGCCUUUAGUAGAAAUUAUUAUUAUUAUUAUAAGAGAUGGAUUGGCAGAAUCGUUAAAGAGUCAGGUACAUUUGCUUUACUGUGAUUUUCUCCGGCUUCUUAUAAACUGAGUUCAAAUCAUGCCGAGGCUGUAAAUUGUAAUGUGUGUCAGUAUAUAAUGUGUGCGCCCCCAGCGCACAUUAGAAUCCAAUGUUAUUCUAAUCUGCACCAUUUGAAAGGUGUUUUUUCUGAAAGUUAUGAGGAAACAAAGUCGACUCGUGUAAAUUUUCCGAAACUCCUCUCCCCAUACUCGGAAAAUUUAUUCACAAUAAAUUCCGAUUAAAUCGGAAUCUAAAUCACCUGAAAAGUAUUCGUAGAAAACAUUAAAAAUAUCCACUUUUCCAAAACGUAUUAGGAAACAAAGUUGAUUGGGGUGGAGUACACUUGUGUAGGUAUGCCGCAUUAUUAGUCGAGUCUAGGUUUUUGGAUUAAUUUGUCCCAAAUUCCUAGCAGUAACGUGUAGUAUUCUUUCCAGUAUUAAUUUAAAUACAUUUAUAACUUGCAAUAUUAGAAAAUUGUGAUGUUCUCUAUCCAAUUUCCUAUCUUGAACAGAUUAGAGUUAAUUUUUUUGACUUGGUGUACUUGUUAGAGCUCCAGGCAAAAUGUUUUGCAAUAUUUAUAUCGGAUCACUAGGGUUUAAGUUGAACAUUUUCCAUGAUUAUCCUUGCUUUUUUAUAUUGCGUCAAUGCAGUGGAUUGGUUGAAAGUCGGACAGGAGUACCUUAUGGGCAUUUGUUCCAGUUUGGGUGGUAGAUUUCAUCUGUCGUCUUGUUUGACUCCAAUAUUCGGUCUUUGAGCGCCUUCUAGAAAGAAUCCGAGCCAAGUAUCCGGUUUGAGGAUAAAUCCCUCCCUUCCGUUUCCCAGUCUUGGAUGCCCUGAAAAUAUAAAGGGAUUAUGGGUACUAGCCCUCCCAUCCUGACUAAGAGGUAAAAUAACUGCUCUAUGUGUGUAUGUGUGCUAGUGUUAUGACGUGAUGCUUGUGAGCGGUGUAGUUCAUUUCCCCGUCUAGCCAUGGGGAAAUAUAACCUUGGAUGGAAACUAGUGACAGUGGCCAACAGGAAAGGGAUGCUGUCAUAGAAAUUCUACCUCAACAAAUUCUGUAUGCCCCAUGCAGGGUUUUUUUUAAGUGGACAUUAAAAAGAUUACGAUGAUGAUGAUGAUUCUGUCCCUUCAUUGAUAUUUUAAGUGACAAGAACAAAAUGCGGCGACAUUAAUGGGAGGUUCCUAAAUUGAUGAAGGUCGACGGGUUCCGAGGGCUCCUUUAACCUUCUUUAUUAAACGCUGUAGUAUUGACAUCUGGCGUGACUUCCUACUUUCAUUCUUCCAAAAUGUCAUCGUAAAACUUUAACAUUAAGUUGACUCUUGUUUGAAUGCCAUUGUCGGUUUCCCAAUCAUGAUCAUUAUCACCGUGUUCAACAAAUGAAAUACAAAAUUUUAACAAAAGAAUUCUUGGUAUUUUGCUUCUUAUUUCCUGAUUACCUCCAUUUCUACGAUUUCCUCUAGUGUGUCAACCUCGUGUUGUUCAAGUUGGAAAACUAAUUCCUGAAAUUUGUCGUACAAAAGUUGCUCACCUUGGCUAUCCAACAACAGAUCGACAUCAUCUGUUUAAAUAUUAUCAAUGCCAAUAAAUUUAGCCACGACAGAGACUUUUUCUAACACUUCUUAAAACAUUUUCUAUCUUUACACAUUUACUCACUGUUUCAUAACUGAACUUAUGUCAUGUGCCAUUUAGCAUGAAUUGUAACACUUUCCCCCAAGGUAGAUUCAAUGCUUGCAAUAUCCAUUAGGCCAGCUGUCCCCAACCUUUUUAGCAGCACGGACCGGGGGAUCACGUACUGAACAAAAAUAAAUGAUAAAAUGACAUAAUAUAUAGUUUAUUACGUACUAGCACUGUGACCCGGCAACGCCGGGUCACACUGCUAGUGCAUGCAUAUACAGCUGCGUGCGUGCGCACAUACACGCGAGUACUGUCCAAAUCUCCGACCAAUCACAUACAGCCAGCCGGCAUUCAAUUGGCGUAUCAAGUUUCGGGCAUUUUGAUUGGGUUUUGGAUAGAGAAUUCACAAAAAGUCACUUCUAUUGAUUUUUUAAUGGCUUUGCAGGGUGACUGGGGAAAUGUAAAGAUGUGCACGACCACCCUUGGACGGUUUUGAAUGGCCAUAGAAAGUGUGAGCCCUCUAACUGAAAAAUUGUGGAUUUGUAUAAAGGAUACGCACGCAGACAUUUUGCCAUUUAUAUACAGAGAGAUAUAAGACGUAUAUCUAUUAUAUAAAAUUCGUUCUGUCUGUGUGUGUGUGUGUCUUCUAGGAUCUCGGGCAUCCUCCAUCCGAUUGCGCUCAAAUUUGAUUUGUAGAUACCGACGGUAUUGCAAAAAUCGAUUCCAGGUGAGAAUGCGAUCGAUAAAGCCGUGGGAACGUGCAUUUUAAUGCGCAAGUACAUCAGCUGUUGCGAUCGAUACUACGCGUACGCGAGAAAAAUGCACGUGCAGUUUGCGCAAAAAAAGCUGGCUGGCUUGAAAUAAUACCACAAAAUCCAUUGGACGGGGGGCGUUUUGCUCGUAUGUAAUAUAUGAUGCAUAUAUAAUGCAAAUAAUAAAAAGAAAAAACUUACACACUGCGAUUGUUAAUAAAAUAGAAUUUGGUAAAUGGAAAAUGAAAGAAGUUCGUCUCGUGUGUGUUUGUCAUGCACCACCGCUUGACAACCAGUGUUGGUGUGUUUACGUCCCUGUAACUUUUCGGUUCAGCAAAAGAGACCCAAUAAAAUAAGUACCAGGUUUAAAAGUGAAAAAAAAAAUUAAGUCCUAGGGUCGAUUUGUUCGACUAAAAAUUCCUCAAGGUGGUGCCCCAGCAUGGCCGCAGUCCAAUGACUGAAACAAAUAAAAGAUAUAAUAUAAUCGUUAAUACAGUUAGUUGAAGACGCUACAUUCUACGCUUCUGACUUGAAGCAAUUCAAUGCAACGAAUCAAAUUUUUCUCAUUUUUCGGCAGGUGUUGACUUACAGCAAUUUAAACACAAUAUGAAGUCAUCAAUCUUAACAGACUUGGAAUGCCUGCAAGAACUAUAGGCUCUACACCUUCUUCCAAGCUCGUAAAUUAAUAAUAGCAUUCUGUAUAUUUCUUAUCUAUGCUGUGUUGCGCAUGUGCAUUAUUGACCUGCACUCGGUCGCUUAUAAAAUUUUCCAUACGAUGAUGUCAUUUCUGCCUCACUAUACCCUUCUUAGAUUUACAGGGAAGGGUGUAUUGUAUAAGGUACUACAGGCUUUUCCAAAGCGCAACAUAACCGAGUCAGUCAGACAGAUUAGACACUAGUACUUGACUGGCACUUUUUAUCUAUCCCCGGCAAUAUUUAUUCCGGUUUAGUUUGAGCUCACAACACUAAGAGAGUAGGAACAACUGACCAAAAUACUUCAAUCUAACUUUGUAAUGAAUCGAUCAUCUUGCUGCUUUGCACGAAUUACGCACGAAUUACAAUGCCCGCCAUACACACAUUACGCAAGCACACACAUCAACUACAUCAGAGACACAUACUAAUAUUUAUAUUCACACGCAUAAAAUAUAACUGACAAGCACACCCAUCACGUACACUCUAGCCUGGAAUGUCAAACAUACUGCUCGCGGCCAUGCGUAGUCUAUCCUCCAGCUCAGUUUUAUAAAUGAAAAAUAAUAAUUAUUUUUCAAUUCUAAAAUAUUCUGUAAUAUAAUAUAUAUUGCUGUCAUGAAAUCAGAGUUGGAGCGUGACUAUAGUCGUGAUUAGCACAUGUUCUGAUUUUUAAAAAAAUCAAUGCACAUUAAGGACUCAUUUGCUUGAAUGAUGUGACUUAUUUCUCCUUCACUUUGUCUUUACAGAGAAAUUUUUUCUUUUAUUUCUUUUUAAUUUUUUCUUUUUAAUAUUUAUGCUCGUGUUCAUCUGAAUAGAUUCUAGUGGUAUAAAUGACAUUGAAAGGUUUUCCAAAUGAAAGGUGUGAGCUAAGCAUAACUUUUCCACUAAAAAAAAAAAAUACCAAAAAAACCUACCUACAUGCAUUCAUUUGCACUCUAAGGACUCUUACUUGAUAUAACUAUGUAUAAACAUGGGGGUGAGGAGAUAAUUUUUUUCCAUACGUCUUUGCAUACAAACUUUGCAAACAUCUCUCAUUCUUUCGUUUAUAUACAAAAUCUUGAUUUAUGUUUAUUUGUCUCUUCUCGACACUCGCAGUAUCUGCAGCAUUCUGUGUAGUUGAAAGAAUAACAAAUAAGUGACACUGAACAAAAUAAAUUUAUUUUAUUAAUUCAAUGGUUAUCAUUAAAAUUUAAUUUAUCGAUUGUCAUUGAGAUAGCCACCCGAAGGGUUCAGUCCCACGGUAUGACAUCUUUGGCAUGUCUUGUGCUGACCAAAGCCUUAUGGACAGAUUUAGUUGAUAGAAACUGAAAAAAGCCCGUACACUUACUUUCGUAUUUGUAUUACUUUAUCCAAUAGCCCCAUACACACAUCUGGAUAUUAAUGGUGCUCUACUCUGAUAGUACCCUACACAUACCUUGUUAUUUGUGGUACUCCGAUAGGUUUAUACACAUACGUUGAUAUUUGUGGUACUCUAUUCCAGUAAAUAAAGCUGUAGUCUCCGAUUAAUUUUAUCAGUUUGUCACUGGCAUUAACGAUGGUUUGAAAUUUUGGCACAAGGGCAGCAAUUCUGAGGGAGGGGAUAGGUCAACUAGUACUUAACUGGUAUUUUCUUUAUUGCCCACAGGGGGAUAAACAUAGAGGGGACAAACAAGGACAGACAAAGGGAUUGUCGAUUACAUCGACCCCAGUGCGUAACGGGUACUUAUUUAAUCGACCCCGAAAGGAUGAAAGACAAAGCCGACCUCGGCGGAAUUUGAACACAGAACGUAAAGACGAACGAAAUGCCCGCUAAGCAUUUCGCCCGGCGUGCUAACAAUUCUGCCAGCUCGCCGCCUUUCCACUGGUAUUGCAAACGGAAUUACUGUCAACAGAAACUGGAGCAAGAAAAAUUGAAUGAACUCUUAAAUGACAUUAACAAGAGACAGAAUUGAUUGAUCCAAACGCGUAUUUCAUAAAAGCUUGACGUCGUCUUUUGGGACAGCAAUUACUGCAAGGGUUGAUGCUAUAAGGCGGUGAGCUGGCAGAAUCCAUAGCAAGCCGGGCGAAAUAUUUAGCGGUAUUUCGUCUGCCGCUACGUUCUGAGUUCAAAUUCCGCCGAGGUCGACUUUGCCUUUCAUCCUUUCGGGGUCGAUUAAAUAAGUACCUGUUACGCACUGCGGUUGAUGUAAUCGGCUUAAUCCCUUUGUUUGUCCUCUCUAUGUUUAGCCCCCUGUGGGCAAUACAGAAACAAAUUACUGCAAGGGUUAUGCAAGUCACUUUGGUUUUUGACAGAUCCGUACCCUUAUGUAUGAACUCUGCCGAAACAUAGUAAUGUUAUCAACCUUGUUUCAGUACCAUCAGUCUAUGAACUUCUAGAAGGAUUAUUUACUAAAUUUCACUUGAAUGAACUAAGCCUUUCUCUGUAUAUUUGCCUUUUGUCAGCUUGAAAGAGAGCACUCUGGAAAUCGAUAUGUCUUGUCCUUUAACUUUCGAAGCAGCCCAAGCUCUGCAAGAAUAUCAGACCGAUUUCUAUUACAUGUCAAUAUAAAGAAUACAUUUGGCUUCCCAAAACGAUGAACGAUUCUCAUCAAGUCCUGAAAAAAUCUUUUGCAGAACCUAGAAUCUGCAAUGCAGGAAGUUAAAAGCACAACAUGUGUACCAAUAAGGCCAUUUGGCGUGUACGCACGCCUAGUUAAUCGAGCCUUUGUAAUAAAAACUAUAUUAUUGCUCCCACGAUUCCUUCGAAUUUCUUGGAGUCACUCUUCAGCUUUACCUACCCACAAUGCAUUCAUCAUUAUCAUCGUCAUCAUUUAACGUCUGUUUUCUACGCUGGCAUGAGUUAGACGGUUUGGCCGGAGCUGGUUAGUCAGAAAGCCACACAGGGUUCCAUCGUCUGUUUUGACUUGGUUUCUACGACUUGAUGCUCUUCCUGGCGCCAACCACUCAAUAAUGUACCGGAUGUUUUUUACGUGUCACCAACACGGGUUCCUUUUAUGUGUCAGGUGCCUUGUGAUAAACUGCUUCACAGCAGGAACAUUUCAAAAUCGUUUAUUCGACGCACCAUUCUGUAUGCAUAAAAUAUCCAUGUCUCAGAUUUCCUUUUGUAAAUGAUAUCUACAAAGCUAUGUGUGACGCGCAUGUUGUUUUUGGUGUUGCUACUGUUCCAUUCUAUAUAGUGUUGCUAUAAAUUCUAUCAUCAUCAGCGGGAAAAAAUUUGUCCUUCAUUUAAAGUGCAUAUGUCUUAGUUCAAAGUAUUUUUGUUGAUAUUUGUCCUGGUGUAGUUUUCAGGGCAUUGUCUUAGAAAGUGGCGUUACCUCUAGCUCUUGUCGACAUUUUGUGGCAAAUACAAGAAAGUAAAAUCUAAAAGGUUGAUGCGAAAUGACACAGAAAAAAAGCAUGCAAUUUUAUUAACUUUUGAUAAAAACUAUGAUCUAGAUAUAGAGUGAUGCAUAGACAGAUGUUAAGGAGCCAGAAAAGAAGACGACAACAGUAACGGUUUCUGGCUUAGACACAAGACCAAAAGAUUUAGCGGAGGGUUAGUCAAUAUCAUCAGCCUCACAACUUGAUUGAUAUAUGAUUUCAUAGACCCAGAAAAGCAAAUUUGGCCAUGGUUGGAUUUGAAACCGAAGCGUAAGGAUUCCGGAAAAAAGGGUAUUUUGUAUGACGUUCGUACAAAAGGCGGCGAACUGGUUAAAUAAUUAAUUAGUACAGUGAGCAAUCUAUCAAAAGUAUUAGAAACCACAACCUAGUUAGACUCACAGCUCAUCAAAACUCCGAAACAUUCUCCUCCAACUAUAAUUUGGGUCUUUCGAUUUUAGAUGUGAGCAUCAUUAUCGUCAUCGUUUAACGUCCGCUUUCCAUGCUGGCAUGAGUGGGACAAAUGUAAUCGACGAGGAUGAGAUUCGAACUCACGCGAGGAGACCCCAAUGGAUUAGCAAUCCAUCGCCUUACUCGUCUUUUAUCCGAAAUUCCUGGACACUCUCUCAUGAUCUAGAAAGCGUUUCAGUUUCACUGUGGAGACGUCUUUUAUUUUUUUUUUGGGGGGGGGGGGAUUAUCGAUAUUCGUUCUUUAUUUCUUCUUAUCUCAGAACAUAGGGUCUACAACUCGUUUUCUUCCUUAGCAAUUCCUAGAUUUUCUUUCUGAUCACCAUAAAGCUUAGGGUGGUUAUUUCUUCAUGAGGAAUUGCCACCUUCUUAUAUGCUUCCUUGCUUUAUGCCCCUCUUUUAUACUUCCUUGUUCUCACAUUUCUCCAGUCCCUGUCUCCCACCCCAUCGUCCUGCGGAAGCUAGGGACUGAUGAUAGCGAUGGGUUGGUAUUGCGCUUUUUACCCUCAGAUUUGUCUUGUUCUGGAGGACCUCUCUUGACUUCUCGGUCGUCAUAUGCCUUUGAUAAUGGUGGUAAAAGGGUCGAAGCCAGCAAACUUGCAUUUACAGACUUACUGGUUUUGCUCUGUUGUAACAGUGCUUUUUAAACAGCUGUAAUAGGCUUCUGUUUUGGCAGCUGCAGUUGUUGGUAUUAUUGUCUGUAAUACUGUUCACCGAAUUCCGUUAUUUUUUUCUUUUUUCCUCAGGUGACUUAUACUGUCAUACGUGUGAGCAACUAUGUCAUCUGCUCUGUGCCAAGAGCCAGAAUUUCUGCCUUUGCGAUGGAGCAAAGCUCUGAGAAAUAUUUUUUCUUUGGGUUGUCAUUCCUAUCUGGAUGUCCAUACAGACCUAACUCAACCAUGUUUUUGCCGUUCACCACCAAAUUCAUCAUAAUUCUGUAUUGAUUUGAAAAUGUGAUGUCAUGCCAAGUGCCGACAUCAGUACGAAUAUCUUUGGCCAUAAUUUUAGGGUUCCUAAAAAGAAACACAGUGGCAUAAACCUAUUGAUAGACGUGUAGCACACCAUCUCUGCAUAUGUCAUUGUCUCGACUGUGAAGUAUCAGGAAAAUAUGCUUCUAUAUGCCAUUCUUCGUUUGAGGAAACGACUUAUGACUCUCCUAACUCUUUUUUUGAGAACAUGAAGUUAUGUCAUUUUCCUUUUAAGCUCCGGGUCAAGGAGGUAGUGUCUUUUGUAAUACACAUUGCCUACUUGAGCUGGUUCAAGUUGAUGCAAAUCAUGUCUGUUUAUACUGUCGUUGCUGUUCGUACAAUUUCGCCUAUGUAUCAAUUUUUGAAGCUAGCUAUUCCUGGGAAGGUCAUGGGGUGUUGUACUCAGGCACUUCUUCCCUUCUAUAGGGUCCAAUCAGAAGCAAACGUCAUCACAUAUUCUUACUGGAAAUAUUACUUACAGUAUGUUUUGCUCGGAGAUCAGCGAGUCUCUUCAAGUUGAGCCGCUAAUGAUUCUGCCAACUCCUUAAUAAUAAUAAUAAUAAUAAUAAUAAUAAUAAUAAUUCUUUCUACUAUAGGCACAAGGCCUGAAAUUUGGGGGAGGAGGAUAGUCGAUUACAUCGACCAUUGACCCCAAAAGGAUGAAGCGACAGACGAAAUACCUAUUUCUUUACUACCCACAAGGGGCUAAACACAGAGAGAACAAACAAGGAUAGACAGAUGGAUUAAGUCGAUUUCAUCGACCCCAGUGCAUAACUGGCAUUUAUUUAAUCGACCCCGAAAGGAUGAAAGGCAAAGUCGAACUCGGCGGAAAUUGAACUCAGAACAUAACGGCAGACGAAAUAGUAUUAACUAUUUUGCCUGCAUUCUAACGAUUCUGCCACCUCGCCGCCUUCUUGAUAAAAAUAACAAUCAUUAUGAUAAUAAUAAUAAUAAUUCUUUCUACUGGAAGCACAAGCCCUCAAAUUUGGGGGAAGGGAUUAAGUCGAUUACAUCGAUCUCAGUACUCAAUUGGUAAUUAUAUUGUCGACCUCGGCCGAAUUUGAACUCAGAACGUAGGAACAGGCGAAAUACCGCUAAGCAUGUCGUCCAGCGCGCUAACGAUUCUGCCAGCUCAUCGCCUUAAUAAGAGAAAUGAAAGAAGAGGGAGAAGGAAAAGUAGAUAUAUGAGGAAGGUGACAAAGUGAAAGACAGAUAAGGAAAUAAAAAGAACAGAAAGAAAAGAAAGUGGAAUAAAAGGAAGAAUAAGGAAAGAGACGAGAGGAAGAACAAAAGGAAGAAGACGUGACGGAAGAAGAAUAAGAUGUGCCUGAUGUUGUUAUUGCUGUAGAAAUGGAAGAUUCAGGAGAGAACCGAUCCAAAUUCCUUGUUGUAGUAAUUAUGUCUUUCAGUUUUGAGAUAAUAUCCUACCGGAAUUAAUAAGAAGACAUAAAAGAAAGAAAAAAUACCAAUAAUAUAUUUGUGGUCAAUUGAGACGACCAGCGCUCAUCCAAAUCAACCAGAGAAUAAUUCUGAGUGCGUGUGCCGAAUACGAAAAACAAGAAAAGAAACACACAUACACACACACACACACACACACACACACACACACACACAAAAAAAAAAGGAAAAAUUAUUAUCAUUUCAUAAUAAUAUUUCAACAAAUACUAAAAUUUGUAAUAAAUUAAAUUACCUCUAAAGUUGCACUGAAUAUAAUUCUAACGCUAUUUGAUGCCAGAAUAAUUAACGUGUAAUUAAAUCUCACAAUUAGUGAAAUCACAAUUGCUUGUCUGUAGAACUGACCGAAAACCAAGGCCGCUAUUGUCUUCUUUCAAAUUAAAAGAGAUAGCAUGAGCUAAUUUUUUUUCUCCUUUUCUCGUUGUGUGAAUGUAUUGUGUGUGCGUGUAUAACAAUAUGUGUGUGUGUAUAUAUAUAUAAUAAGAAUUCUUGGAAGUGUAUAUUGAAAUAUAUCCAUAAUGAUAGAUUCUGAUUAAUUUUUCUGUUAUAAUUAUUAGUGCAUAUAUAUAUAUAUAUAUAUAUAUAUAUAUAUAUAUAUAUAUAUGUGUGUGUGUAUGUGUGUGUGCAUACAUAUCUAUAACAAAUAUGUAGACAUAUGCGUGUGUAUUCAUGUACGCAGACCUAAGCACGCGCAGAUACACAUGCAUAUAUGUAUGUAUGUAUGUAUCCAGAGACUAAUGUGUGUGUGUGUGUGUAUAUAUGUAUCCACAAACAUACGUGUAUAUAUAUAUAUAUAUAUACACACACAUGUAUUUGUAUUCAUAUGCUUAUAGAUAUGUAUACAUGUCUAUAUAUAUAUAUAUAUAUAUAUAUAUAUAUAUAUAUAUGUGUGUGUGUGUGUACCCACUUAUAUAGACAGCUGUAUAUGAAUACUUGUGUAUAUAAGUAUAUGUGUGUGUAUUUGUAUAUUUGUGUGUGCAUGUGUCAGUCUGACUGUGCGCACAUACACAUACUCAGACAUAUUUCGUCUUCUUCCUCCUCCUCCUCCUGGACUAGAUGGUCUCCAUACCCACCACGUGCUACCACACCUACCCAGUUCAUCAGAGGCUUCAUGACUCAAUUCAUCUACAGCAUGUCUCCCGCCACCCCACCCCCAACCCAGGCGUAGUCUGUAAAAUAUGACUUACACCGCACCCCUCACGCUCCACAUAUACAGAUUGAAAAUGGGCGUUCCCAUGAUGCCGAGAUGGGUCACUCGAAGAUGUUUUGAAGUUUGACCAUUACGUCUUUUGCAUUUAAUGAAAAUGGCUCGGAUAUUACUGUUAUAUACGAAUGAAUGUCUAACUGUGUCGAGCGAAUAAGAAAUUCGUGCUCAAUGUAUAUUGUAAAGUAUUAUAGAGUAUAUGCGGAGGCGCAAUGGUCCAGUGGUUAGGACAGCGGAAUCGCGGUCGUAGGAUCGCGGUUUCAAUUCCCAGACCGAGCGUAGUGAGCGUUUAUUGAUCAAAAACACCUAAAGCACCACGAGUCUCCGGCAAGAGGUGGUGGUGAACCCUGCUGUACUCUUUAACCACAACUUUUUCUCACUCUUUCUACCAGUUUCUGUUGUACCUGUAUUUCAUUCUGUGUACCUGUAUUUCAUUUCUGUUGUACCUUGUCACAUUCUGUGUCACGCUGAAUCUCCCCGAGAGCUACGUUGAAGGUACACGUGUCUGUGGAGUGGUCAGCCACUUGCACGUUGAUUUCACGAGCAGGCUGUUUCGUUGAUCGGAUCAACUGGAACCCUCGUCGUCGUAACAGACGAUGUGCCACGAGAGAGUAUAUGAUUUAUCGAAACAAUGUAUAUUUCACAACCUUAGUUCCAUGCCGCUGCAUGUUCUCGCUUAUGGAUCGCAAUCAUGUGUUAUGCCUUUCAUCCUUUUGAGGUCGAUAAAUUAAGUACCAGUUGCAUACUGGGGUCGAUCUAAUCGACUGGCCCCCUCCCCAAAAAUUUCGGGCCUUGUGCCUAGAGUAGAAAAGAAAAGAUUCAGUGUCAAGGCGUUGAGCUGGCAGAAACGUUAGCACGCUGGGCAAAAUGCUUAGCGGUAUUUCGUCUGUCGUUACGUUCUGAGUUCAAAAUUCCGCCGUGGUCGAAUUUACCUUAUUUCAUUAUUAUCCACAAGGGACUAAACAUAGAAGGGACAAACAGGGACAGACAUAGGUAUUAAGUCGAUUACAUCGACCCCAGUACGUAACUGGUACUUAAUUUAUCGACCCCGUAAGGAUGAAAGGCAAAGUCGACCUCGGCGGAAUUUGAACUCAGAACGUAACGGCAGACGGAAUACUGCUAAGCAUUUCGCCCGGCGUGUUAACGUUUCUGCCAGCUCGCCGUGGUCGAAUUUACCUUUCAUCCUUUCGGGGUCGAUUAAAUAAGUACCAGUUACGCACUGGGGUCGAUAUAAUCGACUUAAUCCGUUUGUCUGUCCUUGUUUGUCCCCUCUGUGUUUAGCCCCUUGUGGGCAAUAAAAAAAAUAAGAAGAUUCAGUGUCAAGAAUAUAUAUAUACAUAUACAUUGACGGUGCAUGGCUCAGUGGUUAGAGCGUUGGACUCACAAUCAUGAGGUCUUGAGUUUGAUUGCCGGACUGGGCUGUAUGUUGUGUUGUUGAGCAAGACACUUUUUCACAUUGAUCCAGUUUAAGACAUCACUGGUGCCAAGCUGUAUCGGCCUUUGCCUUUUCGUUGGAUAACACUGAUGGCGUGAAGACGGGAGGCUGCUAUGCAUGGGCGACUGCUGGUCUUCCAUAUAAACAUUGCCCGGAGUUGUGCCUCGGAGGGUAACUUUCUCGCUAGGUGCAAUCCGGUGGCCAUUCAUGACCGAAGGGGGUCAUUACCCUUUUAUAUAUACAUUGUGUGUAUGUAUAUAUGUGGAGGCGCAAUGGCCCAGUGGUUAAGGCAGCGGACUCGCGGUCGGAGGAUCGCCGUUUUGAUUACCAGACUGGGCGUUGUGUGUGUUUAUUGAGCGAAAACACCUAAAGCUCCACGAGGCUCCGGCAGGGGGUGCUGGCGACUCCUGUUGUAUUCUUUCGCCCCAACUUUCUCUCACUCUUUUUUCCUGUUUCUUGGGGGGUGGGGAACACAUACACCAUAGAAACCGGGCCCAAGAGCCUGGCUAGGCCUAAAAAGGAUGAAAACGAAUUAUGUAUAUAUGUUCGGAUAUAUAUAUGUAUGUAUGUAUGCAUGUACGUGUGCACGUAUGUAUGUAUGAAUGUACUUAUGGACGUGUAUAUAUUAUAUAUAUAUAUAUGUGUGUGUACGUGUAUGUAUGUAUGCAUAUGUGUGUGUACGUGUAUGUAUGUAUGCAUAUGUGUGCGUAUGUGUACGUAUGCAUGUAUAUGUGUGCGUAUAUGUAUGUAUAUGUGUGCGUAUAUGUGUGCAUGCAUAUAUAUAAGCGUAUAUAUAUGUAUGCGUAUAUGUAUGUAUAUGUGUAUGUAUAUGUGUACGUAUGUAUAUGUGUAUGUAUGUAUACAUACAUGUACGAGCGUUUGUAUGCGUAUAUAUUGAAUAUGUGUUUAAAAUCAUGCGAUGAGUAUAUAGAGACAAAUUACCCAGGCAGGUACCAUAAGAGCUCUCAGGUAUAAUCCAGGCUCUGGCUAACCGCUUCAAGUAGUAACCAAGAUCGUUUAGCGUGAGCAAUCUCACUGUAUUUCUUCCGAUGGAUAAAUCCGAGUUCUGUUCACUGGUUUAUGAACAUUUUCGGGAUUGGAACCCCAAAACAAAAUGGAGACUGAUAAUUAUGCAGCAUGUAUAUAUGAAUGUAUUUUUCAAAUGCGUAAGAUAUUAAAUAUUUUUACUGUUGCAUUACUAUAGAAAUGGAAAAAACAGUUAAAAUAAUAGAGAAUGAAUAAAUAAAUUUUGGAUGAAUAACAACAGCUUAGAGAAAACAAAGAACUGCAGACAAAAACAAUCUUCGUGUUCAUUAGCUUAUUCGUCACUCUUCCGAAGUAUAAAAGAAAUGGUCUCAACAGAAGGUUUUAGAUCGAGAUUCCAGCAAAGCAAUUCGAAUUAACAUUGUUUUUUUUUUUUCUCUUCACCACAUAAAUUAUAUCCAUUUAGCUUUUAAUUGCUCUCUUAUUAAGGAUGAAAACACUAAUGAAAUCUAUUGGAUGGAGCGUCAGCUAUGGGAUUAUUUUUAUGAAAUUUUUACAAAAUGGAUAAAAUUAACGCCGGAUUAUAGAAAACAGAAUUCUAUAUUAUAAUUAGGAGAUAGAACGGAUCUUUUCGGUUUGAACGGCAGUUUUUUAAAAUAAUUUCCACGUAACUAAACACUUUCAAACUUCGUAUUCUGGUAGAAUGUGUUUAUAAAACAUCUUUUUCUCUUGGCUUUAUUGGGAAAAUUCUAUAGUUUGUAAGAUAUUUGUUGUUGUUUUUCUGCGAUUUCAACCAAUCAAUGACGUCUGUUGAGGAGAAAACAUUCUUUGCCAUAUGAAAAUGUCCCUCGUUUAAGAAACAGAUUGGGUUUAUUUACAUUUCUGAAGAAAAAAAUAUAGCAUUCCCCCACCCCUAACCCUAACCCACCCUAAAUAACCCUAACACUAAAAUAGAUUGAAAUGCAAUAGAUCGACACUAGGGUCAUAAUUAUGGGUGACAAUUUCAUGACACCGCUAGAAAAAACUGCCGUUCAAACCGAAAAGAUCCGAUAGAACUAUUGGUUAACAUGCAGUUUGCGGUAUUAAAAAAAUUAAAGUGAAUUGCAAUAGAAACCGGAAUUGACGACAGAGAUAUUGUGUAAUUUCAUCUUUUAAUUUUUACUUGUUCCAGUUAUUAGACUUCGGCCAUGCUAGGGCACCGCCUUCAUGAAAUUUUAUUCGAAUGAAUCAACUCCAGUGCUAAUUUUUCUUUAAGCGUGGUAUUUAUUCUAUCGGUCUCUUUGCCCGAACCGCUAACUUAUGGGGAUGCAAACAUACCAACACUGGUUGUCAAGCGCUUGUGGUGUGGAUACACACACACAUAUAUAUCGAUACAUAGACACACACGGUGGGCUUCUUUCAGUUUCCGUCUACCAAAUCCACUCAAGGCUUUGGUCGCCCCGAGGUUAUAGUAGAAGACACUUGCCCCAAGGUACCACGUAAUGGGACUGAACACGGAACCAUGUGUUUCUGAAGCAAGGUUCUUUUAUUCGCAGGGAACAUGUUUUUUUCGCAAGCUUCUUACAGUACAACCACGCUUGCGCCUAUAUAAACAAUUCGACAUAACUAAUGUAUAGAACGCAUAUAUAUAUGUGUGUGUGUAAUGUUGUGUCUAGGGAGCAUCAUACUGCCUUAAUAUCUAACACACUCACCGGUUUAAUUUUCACUCAUUUAUUAUUUAUAUUUUUCCCUUUCCAAAAUUUUCGUUGCUUUUGCAACCUUGUGAAUGGGUGUUGACUUUCACAUAAAGAAUCUUGCAAACCAGAUACAAAAGCGAAGUAUAUAUUUAAUAUAACACGAAAACCAUACAUAUCUUUUAUAUCAGAUGAAAGCAAUUAUUUCUCAGAGGUGUUCGUUGUUGGGUUUUAUAUACAUUGGAACGGUGUAUGUCACCUGCUGCUUCUGAAAUAUAUACUAUACACGUUGGUGCUUGUGGACGUUGAAUAACGAGGGAGUUCUUUAUGUUCUUUUUCAUGACAUUUUGUGAUGUUUCUGUCGUUAUUUCCAAUUUUUAUCUCAAUUUAAUUUCCACAUUUUUAGACAAUUUACUUUCACUUUCUUUUUACUACCGUAAACUGUACGUCAACCGAAUUAUGUGUGUAACAGCAAGUUGUUACACACAUGCACACACUAUGCAUAACUCUGCCAACCACAUAGACACACACACACGCACACACACACACACCUAUGCAUAACUCUACCUACCAAACACACACACACACACUUUUUGUUAGGAUGUGUGAUGUGUCAUAGUCAAUUCAAACAACCCUGUAACGAAAGACAAACAGAGCCCCAGCGGCAUUUGAACUCAGAAUGUUAGGGUGCGAAAAGAAAUAAUUUAAGGCAUUUUCUUCGAUAUUCUACCAAUCAGUCAAAUCUUUCAUUGUAUUUAUGAAGCAAAAGUAAUAAUACCCUACAUUGAUUCCUUUUAGUAAGUUCUCUGACCCCCAACAAAGGGGCCAUCAAUAUGCCGUGAUUGGUUGAAUUCCAUCUUCCUACUGGAAUUGAUUUUCCAGAUUUCUGAAGGUUCCCUACGAAGAGAAAUGAAUCAGAAGAUAGUGUGGGGUGUCGUUAACUUUUGAAAAUGCCUCAUUACGCCAUUUUGUGACACAUGUUCAGUCACGUGUGUCAAAUGAAUUUGAAUUAAUGUCGUUUACUGGCGAGAACAAAUUAAGCCUAUUGACAGCUGAAAUGAUGAGGUUAAGCUGCAUACGCACAGGCACGCUUACAAACAUACUCACACACACGCGCAUACAUGUGCAUUCGCUCGUACUCAAACACGUGCAUGUAUAUCUGUGUGUCAGUGACUGUCUGAUUACCUAGCUAGCGAGCUGUCUGUCUGUCUGUCUAUCUAUCUAUCUAUCUAUCUAUCUAUCUAUCUAUCUAUCUAUCUAUCUAUCUAUCUAUCUAUCUAUCUGUCUGUCUAUUUCUAUCUAUCUGUUUAUCUAUCUGUCUGUCUGUCUAUCUAUCUAUAUAUCUAUCUAUCUAUUUCUACCUAUCUGUCUGUUUGGCCAUCUAUCUAUCUAUCUAUCUAUCUAUCUAUCUAUCCUCUCCUUUUUUUGUCCUCUUUCUUUCCUUUUACGAUCCCUUUUGAUCGAAAACCAACCCCCUUUAUUUUUACCCCCAAAAGAAAAGCUCUACCUUGUAAUUUGUUCUGUCUGUGUGCAGCCCUGUGUGGCUAAGAAAGAAACAUAUCUAUCUAUCUGUCUGUCUGUCUGUCUGUCUGUCUCUCUCUCUCUGUCUGUCUGUCUCUCUCUCUCUCUCUCUCUCUCUAUAUAUAUAUAUAUAUAUAUAUAUAUAUAUAUAUAUCCAUCUAUCUGUCUGUCUGUCCAGCUACUUUUUUGUCUAGCCAUGAAGCUCUUUUUGCUUAUGUAUCUGUGUGUCUAUCUCUAUCUGUCUCUUUGUGCAACUAGUUUCUGCAUCUCUCUCAGUGUGUAUGUGUGUGCAUGUAUGUGUGUGCCUUUAUAUCUAUCUAUCUAUCUAUCUAUCUAUCUAUCUAUCUAUCUAUCUAUCUAUCUGCCUAUCUAUCUAUCUAUUUGUCAGUCUGCCUAAAUCUUCUUUCUGUGUCUCUCUCUCUCUCUCUCUCUCUCUCUCUCUCUCUCUCUCUCUCUCUCUCUCUCUCUCGUCUGUGUUUAUUUAUUUCUAGUCAUCGACGUUUGUCUUUGAAUUCAUCUCAGUAUAUCAGUCUAUCUCUUUUUCUAUUCUCAUUAAUACUUUUCCCGUCCAAUUAUCUUCGAUAAUAAAUUACUCAGAGAACGGAUGUCUAUCAAACCCCACCCUUCUCCUCCAGUCAUUAUGUCUGCUGUUAGUUAACAACAUCGCUGUGGCUCUCCGUCGCUGUCAAAGAUGACUCUUGCCUUUGCCCUCCUCUUAAUGACAUCUCCUCCCCCCAUACACUCGGACAGCUUUAAGAAUAAAAACAAGAAAUUCCAUUCUGAACACAUCGACAUCACCGUUUGACCAUCAUUCACAUCAAAGGGUGAUCCAAUAUGAUCAUCGCUACAUUUUUAUUUAUAGCGGUCAACAAAGCCUUACGACCACCUGGGGGUAGUUUAUGAUGUAGUGAGUGUAUGCGGCCAUGCUGGGGCAUUACCUUGAAGGGUUUAGUGGAUCAAAUUGCAAAUUGCUCCCGGUACUUAUUCUAAAGUAUGGUAUUUAUUUUGUGUCUGUUUUUGCCGAACUGGUAAGUCACGGGGGCGUAAACAGACCAACACGGGUUGUCAAGUGGUGGGCGAACAAAUGAAAACACACACACACACACACACACACAUAUUCCCCAGAAUCUCCCAAAAUUAGAAACCAUUAAUUAUUAUGCAAAUCUGAUAAGAUUAUCCAUUAAGUCAAUCAGGCAUUAUCGAUCUAUGUAAUCACCAUCGCCAUACAUUCCCUCACACACUCGACGAGUUGCCACAUAGUUUGUGUGCCAAGCAGCCCUUUCCAGGCACUAGUCAACCUCAAGUUCCAUCAUGUCGGACUGAACCCGAAACCACACGGUUGCAAAGCGAGCUUCUUAACCACACCGCCAUUCUUGUCACUAGUAUACUAACACCACAAUACCAAUCUUUCCCAUCACUUCACUAUAAAGUCCAUCAACAUCAUAACACAGCCUUCACCAGAAUCAUAACAGCAUAGCAUCAUGUACAGUAAUUCCUCGCCAUAUCGCGGUUCACCUAACGCGCAUUCAGUACAUCGCGGUUCACCUAUCAUGCACUCAGCACAUCGCGGUUCACCUAUCACGCGCUCAGUACAUCGCGGAUUUUUUUGGCUAAUAUAUGUAAAUUUAUAUCGCGGACUCCUCAGUAUAUCGCGGGUUUCUGCGGCCGAUAGGUAUUUAUAUAUUUUUUAGAUUUUAAUUAUUUCUGUGGGAGGUUUUGGAACGUAACACCCGCGAUAGUCGAGGAAUUACUGUAUAUCAUAUUGCCGACAACAUAACCUUCGCUAUUAUUUACAUUCGACGAUAUUUGUCCUCAUCUUGUUUGUUGUUAACACAACGUUUCAGCUGAUAUACCCUCCAGCCUUCUUCAGAUGUCUUGGGGAAAUUUCGAACCUGGGUUCUCAUUCCUAAGGCAUUUUUCGAUGUUAUUAUUAUCAUUAUGUCCCCAAGACACCUGAAGAAGGCUGGAGGGUAUAUCAGCCGAAACGUUGUGUUAACAACAGACAAGAUGAGGAUAAAUAUCCGUCGAAUGUAAAUAAUGUACAUAAUUCCUCAUCUCUUAAAUAUAGAACUGUAUAACUUUCACUGAUAGAGUAAAAUAACGAAGCAAGUUUUGUGAGGUCGUUCAACCUGCAAUACAAAGCAGCUAAAUUUCCCCCGAAAUCAUUACCACGAAUCAAAUGUAAGAUAAUAUAGAGCUGAUACACACGAUUUAAAACGGCGCGAUGGUCACAAAUUGAAUGCCUGUCAUCGUAGAAUUUCUGAAUUAACAUUAUCCUUCCUUUUCUACUUUAGGCACAAGGACUGAAAUGUUUUUUUAGAGAAAGCUAGUUGAUUACAUUGACACCCACCAGCGCUCCAUUUUUGCUUAUUUCGUCAAGCCCGGAAGGAUCAAAUGCAAUGUCGACCUCGGCGGAAUUUGUACUCAGAAUGCAAAGACGGACGUUUUUACGUUUAUGUCUAAACGUAAAAAUCGAUCUCAGCCAGAUUUGAGCUCAAUGAUAGAUACGUAAAGCACAGUUAAUAGCAAUAUUACGGCAUUCAACGUAAAUUUGUAUAUACAAUGUAAAACGGACGAAAUACAGCUAAGUAUUUUGUCCGGCGUGCUAACGAUUCAGUCGGCACCAACAACCACUGUGACAAAAUUGUUUGACUUUCCAAGCAGAUCAACACAAUAUUACAUCCUUCAUCCACAUCACUGAAAUCAGAUUUACUCUUUACUCUUUAACUUGUUUCAGUCAUUUGACUGCAGCCAUGCUGGAGCACCGCAUUUAGUCGAGCAAAUCGACCCCGGGACUUAUUCUUUGUAAGCCCAGUACUUAUUCUAUCGGUCUCUUUUGCCGAACUGCUAAGUGACGGGGACGUAUACACACCAGCAUCGGUUGUCAAGCAAUGCUAGGGGGACAAACACAGACACACACACAUACACGCAUAUAUAUAUAUAUAUAUAUAUAUAUAUAUACGACAGGCUUCUUUCAGUUUCCGUCUACCAAAUCCACUCACAAGGCUUUGGUCGGCCCGAAGCUAUAGUAGAAGACACUUGCCCAAGGUGCCACGCAGUGGGACUGAACCCGGAACCAUGUGGUUAGUAAGCAAGCUACUUACCACACAGCCACUCCUGCGCCUAGAUUUGCUAAUGAUAUUUCAAUCACCAUUUUCGCCAUCAUCCCCGCAUCAUAGACUUACAAGAAGUACAUUAAUCAUCAAUCAUUCCAGUGUUUCCUCAGAGAACAAGAACCCUCUUCGACUAUCUUUCCAUCAUACGUUUUCUCUACAAGUAGUAAAUCAUUUGACAGGAGUUCAAACUGAAACAUCAACAGCUGCGAUUUAACUUCGAAGUGUUGCCUGCAUCUACGUGUAAAUUUUACAGUCGCACAAUUUCAUCUCGUCUCAUAUCAUUCUUCUUAGCAUGUGCGUGUGUAUGUUUAUGCGUGCGCACGCACACGCAUACACAAGGGCUUAGUCUCAAAGGCCGUUUGUAUCUUAGAAAUACUCAUAGAUGCACGCGUAUAAGCACACACCUAUUUGUAUUUAUAGACAGACAGACAGACAUAUAUAUAUAUACACACAUACAUACAUACACACAUAUAUAGAGGUACAUUGUGUAGUAUGUAUAACAUACAAAUAUAAAAAUAAAAGCGAUGAUAGAGAGAAGAGGCAAGAAAACAUUGACUUAGACCGUUUAACAAACCGAGAAACUGACCGACCGACAGACAGAAUACACAGAACAGAUUCGGCAGAAAGGAGAUUGUAUUUAUCUAAAUACUUUCGAAUUCCGUUGAAAUCGAGUGACACCAAAUUUUUGUCUCUUAUUUCCGAUCGGAAAUAAAGUUGGUUUCUUUAGAAUUCCCCAUACGUCUCUUAAUCUUUGAUUAGCUCUAAACUAUAUUCGAUAUUCCCAUCUCUGACGGCUAUGCUUUUGUCCCGAGUUCUACCAUCGUUACUUAACAAACACCUUGCCUUCAUUGUCACGACCGUGUUGUCUUGAAAAUGUAAAAGUAUUCCUAUGUUUGUUUGUUGGUUGGUUUUUGCAGUUUUUUUUUUAUAUUUUAUAUUUAUGUGUAUGUUUGUUUUUCUAUGGAGUUAACUUACUUCCGGUAUUAUAGUAUUUAAAGUCAAUGCUUCUACUAAGAUUCAGGAUGAAUUUAAGCUGAAGCAAAUUACAUUAAAUAGUUCAUCGUUCCUUCAUAUAAACACGAAAUAUACACCCAUGUACACAUAUACAUACAUAUAUUCAAUACACACACGCCCACACACAUAUAUACAUAUAUGCAUAUACACACACGUAAGUAUAUAAACAUACAUACACGCACACGUGUGUGUGUGUGUGUGUGUGUGUGUGUGUAUAUAUAUAUAUAUAUAUAUAUAUAUAUAUACAUACAUACAUGUGUGCGUGUAUGUAUGUUUAUAAACAUAUGUGUGCAUGUAAAUAUAUAUAUAUAUAUAUAUAUCUAUAUAUAUAUAUAUAUAUAUAUAUACACAUAAGUAUAUUCAGUACAUUUUACAGAAACGUACACAAAUAUAUAAAUACACAUAUAUUCAAUACCGACAUGUGUACAUACAUAUCUACACACACGCACAAACACAUACACAUGUACAUAUCCAUUCAUAUAUGUACAUAUUUAUACACAUAUAUGCUUGCAUGUAAGUGCGUGUGUGUAUAUAUAUAUAUAUAUAUGUGUGUAUAUAUAUAUAUAUAUAUAGACAUACAUAUACACACAUACAUAUACACAUAAUUAUAGAUAUAUGCAUACAUCCACAAGCACGUGUGUGAUUGUAUAGAUGUGUGUGUGAUUGUAUAGAUGAGUUCUGAAGUAAUGUAGCAGUCAACUUUUACGUCACUUACCACGUAACUCGUCAUUCUUGAUUGAAGUCUAUAAGUUCACCUGGUCACAGACUCUAAGAGACCAGUCAGUAUAUAUGAUAACUCUCUUCUUCAAGUCAGCACUGAUGGAAAGAGCCAACGAACAGAGGCGUUCUUGCCGUGACCAUCCCGACCUUUUCAUUCCAAAACCUAUUUUUAGCAGCAUCAGAACCAUGCUAUAAAUACGUAUAUAUACUCUUUUUACUCUUUUACUUGCUUCAGUCAUUUGACUGCGGCCAUACUGGAGCACCGACUUUAGUCGAGCAAAUCUAGCCCAGGACUUAUUCUUUGUAAGCCAAGUACUUAUUUCUAUCGGUCUCUUUUGCCGAACCGCUAAGUUACGGGGACGCAAACACAUCAGUAUCGGUUGUCAAGCGAUGUUGGGGGCGGGGGGGGGGGACAAACACACACACACACACAUAUACAAAUAUAUAUAUAUACGACGGGCUUCUUUCAGUUUCCGUCUACCAAAUCCACUCACAAAGCUUUGGUCAGCCCGAGGCUAUAGUAGAAGAGAGUUGACCAAGGUGCCACGCAGUGGGACUGAACCCGGAACCAUGUGGUUGGUAAGCAAGCUACUUGCCACACAGCCACUCCUGUUCAGAAUUUGUUUCUGAUAUAGUUACUUAUCCCAUGUCAGCCUUGUUCGAGCAGACUUGUGUUUGAAAGCAUUCCGGCCAUAACAACCCUGUCUUUUUCUUAUAUAUAGAAAUGCCCUGCAGACCUUCUUUCACUUGCGGUACACUUAUAUUCUUUUCAAAAUUCGGCGGCACACUUGAAGUAAAAGCAUAGGGAAAAAUUAUACCGAGGGUACACUGUUGUUUGUUGUUAACACAAUGUUUCGUCUGAUUUACUCCCCAGCCUUCAUCAGGUGUCUUGGGGAAAUUUUGAACCUGGCUUCUCAUUUCUAAGGUAUUUUUCGAUGUUAUUAUUAUUCAGAUCACUGCCUGGAAUCUGAAGAUGGCAUAGUGGUUAAGAGCGCGAGCUACUAACUCCAAGAUUCCGAGUUCGAUUCCAGGCAGUGACCUGAAUAAUAAUAAUAAUAAUAAUAAUAAUAAUAAUAUCGAAAAAUACCUUAGGAAUGAGAACGCAGGUUCGAAAAUUCCCCAAGACACCUGAUGAAGGCUGGAGGGUAUAUCAACCGAAACGUUGUGUUAACAACAAACAAGAUGAGGAUAAAUGUAAAUAAUGUACUUCAUUUCACGUUACUCCAGUCCAUUCAGCUGGCAAAACUGAGUAACCCUGCGACAGACCGGCGUCCCAUCCAGGUAGGGAAUUUAUACACUAUGUAAGCCGGCCCUGUAAGUCGGCAUGACUCGUAAACGUAUAUUUGCCUAACUUUUAUACCUAGUCCAAAUAUUCUACCUGUUUUAUAUUCAAGUAAGCUAGCUUCGGCCUCUUACACCUGCCCGACAAUGUCAUUCUGAAAAUAAACAACCAUAUCAUCGAAAUCUCGAAAAUAUGAGAGUUGUGUGAUAAGAAGCUGCGUUCCACCUUGGGCAAAGUGUUUUGUUCUAUAGCCUCGGGCCGACUAAAGCCUUGUAAGUGGAUUUGUUGACGGAAACUGAAAGAAGGUUCUCGUAUAUGUAUAUAACUAUGUUCAUCUUUAUGUCUCUGUUUGUCCCUCACCACCACUCGACAACCGUUGUUGGUGUGUUUACAUCCCCGUAAACUAGUGGUUUGGCAAAAGAGACCGAGAAAAAUAUUGGAGUCGAUUUUUUCGACUAAAAUUCUUGAAGGCGUGACCCCAGUAUGGCCGCAGUUUAAUGACUGAAAUAGAUAAAUAAUAAAAGAUACAAGAUAAAAUCACCGUUACAUUUGAAAGAGUAAUCUGAAUAUAAAAGCGAUAAGUAAUAUGAGGGAUAUUUAGCUGAUCUUUCUAGUAGUUCGAAUGAUCGCGUACAGGCACCCUCAGUGCCUUACUCCAGCUACAUUUAGGUGGAAGAGUAUAAUGGUGAUUAGUAUCUGCCCGGUGUCUUAUAAGUUACUAUACGUAUUCCGUGUGUACUAUUCACAGCGUAUGAAUUUCCUCUCGCAUUAAUGGCGAAUUCUUUCGUCUGAAAUGCUGUUGCAUUAAGCUCGCUUUAAUCUACAUACUAAACAGUCAUUGUACGUGAGGCCUAUUGUCUUGGAUUAUAGAGCACCAUAUAAUCUCAGAACGAAUGCAUGAGAUAAAAAUCUACUUCGGUAACUCGACUUCCUGUAAAUAACAGCUAAGUCUCCUGUAGAUAAUCCCAAGGUACUGUCCUAAAAAGGGAAGGAUAUAUUAAAUGAUAUAGUCGUAGAUACGCAUACCAAGGUGGGAUGGUCACAGCUGGAAUUCCUUUCAUAAUAGAUCUGCAUAGAGUUAACCCGGAACAAGCAAUUACAACGAAUGGACGUUGUUGGUAACAUUUCAAUGGUUCAAAAAAGAACAAAUUUAUUUGAAAUUUUGGCACUAAACUAGCAAUUUUUAGGAGGGAUGGUUAACUUGAUUAUAUCGAUCCCAGUACUCGAGGACUAUUUUAUUGACCUCGAAAGGACAAAAGACCAGGUUGACCUGGGUGGGAUUUGAACUCAGAACGCAAAGAAUCUGUAGAGUCCGGUGCGCUAACAAGUGUGCCAGCUCCUAUUAAUGAUUUAACAAGGUCAGUAAUUGUGGGUUACCCCUUGGAUGUGCAGUUCUAUAUUUAAGAGAUGAGGAAUUAUGUACAUUAUUUACAUUCGACGGAUAUUUACCCCCAUCUUGUUUGUUGUUAACACAACGUUUCGGCUGAUAUACCCUCCAGCCUUCUUCAGGUGUCUUGGGGAAAUUUCGAACCUGGGUUCUCAUAAUAUUCCUUAGGAAUGAGAACCCAAGUUCAAAAUUUCCCUGAAGAAGGCUGGAGGGUAUAUCAGCCGAAACGUUGUGUUAACAACAAAGAUGUGUUUGACUGCAGCGAUUCAAGGAUAUAACUGGUACUAAGAUUUUAUCAUUGAGCACAGCCAUAAAUUGUGGGGUAUCCUUGGGGGUGGUGUUGACUAGAGCGAUAUCAGGUUAUAACUGGUAUUCAGAUAUCGAUCACACAAAGAAGUUUUGGUGUCGUCGUUUUAUUGGUAUUAUUUUGAUCGGUAGAAGAAACUAUACGCAUGAAUUUUGUUUUUUAUACGAGGUCAGUGAUAUUGGAUGUUAUGAACGUUUCCUCUGGGUGUAAGUCUACAACUGCAGGAAAAAAAUAUAUGUGCGGAGGAGGAAUUACGAGGGGCGAGGAGACACGAUCGAAUUAGAAGUCCAUCUGGCGCGAGUUUAGUCUCCGAGGAGAAGACACUACAACGAGAAGUGAAUGGAAGCAGCAAAAUGCUCUCCACACGAGAAUGGCCUCUACACCUGCAAAUAACGAAUGCCAAGUAGAGUAAUAUUGAUAACAAUGACCAUAUGGUUCGAAGAAAUUAUAUCAGUAUGGAAAACGAAUAACUAAGAUGUAGACUAGGACUACUGGGGAGAUUGGAUACUCUGUUACAAUAAUUUAUUACCUCUCAUACAUACGUUACGCAGAUAGGGUUAAGAUUCCGGCUGUGUCCUUUUGAAGCAUAUCUGCUUAUUUCAGUAUUCCAAAUCCGUAUGUUGAUGUUAUAUAUUUGUGAGAGUGCAUAAGAGUUGAAAAUACUGAAAAAUAUUUCAUUCUCUACCUGAGGAAUUUGUAAUAGAUGUUUUGCGUAGCAAAUGAAACACAUGUAAAAAAUUUCCAAUCUCCUGUUUACACACACACAUACACACACACACUCUCUCUCUCUUCAUUGCUCUCUUUCUGACACACAUACAUACACACUGUACUGAGUACUGACACGUAAAUAAAACACCAUCUAUAUUUCUUUAGAUGAUGUUAAGACCGCACCAAAUAAGACAGGCCUAAGGAAACGACACACACACACACAAGCCAAUGAGUGCUCUCUCUCUCUCUCUCUCCUCCCCUUCUCUCUCUAAAUAUAAGUUUGUUUGUAUUUGUGUUAUAACGUUUUAGUAAACAUUCCAAUGACGUUUUGUUCUUUGUUAUAGAUGGUCCGAUUAUCAACACUUGGAAAUUUCCACUCCAAAACGCAGGAUUAGGCAAGGUUCUAUAUGGAAAACCACCAAUUGCCCCUGGAAGCAAGUUGCCCCGCUCCACAACACCGAUGUUGUUCAAGGAAAAAGGUACGCUCAAUAUUAUUUCGUACUGAUUUUAGGAGACAAGUAAUUAGAUCUCUACCUAUUAUCGGAUUUUGUUAGGGCCCCAUAUGGUAAAGAUAUGGAUGGGAAAAAUGUGGGUAGAUGGUGAUGUUCUAGCAACCCUUAUUGCUUUACUAAGUAUACAACAACAAAAAAUAAAUACGCGGAGGCAGCCAUGGUUGAAACAAGAACAAGAAAUAUAAGCAUUCUUAAGAGAAAAGAAGAAUGGUCAUUCCUUACCCAAGUGCCCUUAUGUUAUCGCCCAUCACUUGUUAUGCGCUCAUAAAUUAGUUUGAUAGUUGAGAUGUGAUUGGCUGUAUGCAAAUGAGUUCAUAACUGGGGUCCGGAACUCUCGUGGGGAAAAAAUUUCGCGUCCAAGACUGCUUAUUGAGUAUUCGUAACCACUCUGUAUAUAUAGAAGCCAUUCCACUAUCCUGGGGCCCCGAUGAGUGGGAGUUAUUACCACACCACUGUGCCUAUAGUAAAUAGAAAAAAGAAAUUGUCUCUAUUUGUAGAGCAUGAGUCAUUUGGUUAUUAUGAUACAAUAUCUAGACGUGGAGAUGAUUUUAAUGAAUCAUCUGUUUACGUUGUUCUGUAUUUGAUAUAUCUGUAUAUGUCUCUGUUGUUCAUGCCUCUGGCCACUCUGUGUUACUUCUAUUAGCUCAGUUUUGUUUGAAAAUAUAAUAAUGUAUGCUUUGACUACUGUGUGGACUGAGAUGCCCUGUGACAGCUGAUUAGAAUACGUUUGUAGCUAUUUAAUUUAGGUCUUUUAAGUUAGGUAAUCAGAAGUUUUGAUGUUACUGUGGUGUAAUAGUUAGUCGAGUUGUACAAUUUGCAGCAGACGCGGCGUUCAGAUCUCGUUGGCGAUGUUACUUUAUUUUUCUGCUUUCAGAGCGGCGAGCUGGCAGAAACGUUAAUACGCCGGGCGAAAUGCUUCGCGGUAUUUCGUCUGCCGUUGCGUUCUGAGUUCAAAUUCCGCCGAGGUCGACUUUGCCUUUCAUCCUUUCGGGGUCGAUAAAUUAAGAACCAGUUACGCACUGGGGUCGAUGUGAUCGACUUAAGCCGUUUUUCUGUCCUUGUUUGUCCCCUCUGUGUUUAGCCCCUUGUGGGUAGUAAAGAUAAAAGGUCGACUUUGCCUUUCAUCGUCUCGGGGUCGAUAAAUUAAGUAUCAGUUGUGUACUGGGGUCGAUCUUAUCGAUUGGACCCCUCCCUCAAAAUCUGGGGCUUUGUACCUACAGUAGGAAAUAAUAUUUUUCUUUCUUCUUCUUCUUCCCCUAACGCUAGUCGCCUGAUAUUGAGGAACGUGAAAAACCGUGAAGCAGCUCUCAUACCUUUCACUAAAUCAUAUUUUACCUUAUUGAAAAAUUCCGAGUAUCAUUUCUUAUAACCACGUACACAGAUGUGUUCCAUUGAUUAGUGUGUGUGUAUGUGUAUGUGUAACAACUGGAGGCUUGAGACUGUUCUGAAAAUAUUCCAAAUAAACCAAAUAAUGCCAAACAUAUACAAAAUAAAACCAAAAAUAAUGACAAUAACCCGCC
rnacentral:lncRNA from 1 species